CUGAAUCAGUGUGUGUGUUAGUGGAAGCGUCUGGAAAGGCGCGCGAUACAGGGUGACAGCCCCGUACACAAAAAUGCACAUGCUGUGAGCUCGAUGAGUAGGGCGGGACACGUGGUAUCCUGUCUGAAUAUGGGGGGACCAUCCUCCAAGGCUAAAUACUCCUGACUGACCGAUAGUGAACCAGUACCGUGAGGGAAAGGCGAAAAGAACCCCGGCGAGGGGAGUGAAAAAGAACCUGAAACCGUGUACGUACAAGCAGUGGGAGCACGCUUAGGCGUGUGACUGCGUACCUUUUGUAUAAUGGGUCAGCGACUUAUAUUCUGUAGCAAGGUUAACCGAAUAGGGGAGCCGAAGGGAAACCGAGUCUUAACUGGGCGUUAAGUUGCAGGGUAUAGACCCGAAACCCGGUGAUCUAGCCAUGGGCAGGUUGAAGGUUGGGUAACACUAACUGGAGGACCGAACCGACUAAUGUUGAAAAAUUAGCGGAUGACUUGUGGCUGGGGGUGAAAGGCCAAUCAAACCGGGAGAUAGCUGGUUCUCCCCGAAAGCUAUUUAGGUAGCGCCUCGUGAAUUCAUCUCCGGGGGUAGAGCACUGUUUCGGCAAGGGGGUCAUCCCGACUUACCAACCCGAUGCAAACUGCGAAUACCGGAGAAUGUUAUCACGGGAGACACACGGCGGGUGCUAACGUCCGUCGUGAAGAGGGAAACAACCCAGACCGCCAGCUAAGGUCCCAAAGUCAUGGUUAAGUGGGAAACGAUGUGGGAAGGCCCAGACAGCCAGGAUGUUGGCUUAGAAGCAGCCAUCAUUUAAAGAAAGCGUAAUAGCUCACUGGUCGAGUCGGCCUGCGCGGAAGAUGUAACGGGGCUAAACCAUGCACCGAAGCUGCGGCAGCGACGCUUAUGCGUUGUUGGGUAGGGGAGCGUUCUGUAAGCCUGCGAAGGUGUGCUGUGAGGCAUGCUGGAGGUAUCAGAAGUGCGAAUGCUGACAUAAGUAACGAUAAAGCGGGUGAAAAGCCCGCUCGCCGGAAGACCAAGGGUUCCUGUCCAACGUUAAUCGGGGCAGGGUGAGUCGACCCCUAAGGCGAGGCCGAAAGGCGUAGUCGAUGGGAAACAGGUUAAUAUUCCUGUACUUGGUGUUACUGCGAAGGGGGGACGGAGAAGGCUAUGUUGGCCGGGCGACGGUUGUCCCGGUUUAAGCGUGUAGGCUGGUUUUCCAGGCAAAUCCGGAAAAUCAAGGCUGAGGCGUGAUGACGAGGCACUACGGUGCUGAAGCAACAAAUGCCCUGCUUCCAGGAAAAGCCUCUAAGCAUCAGGUAACAUCAAAUCGUACCCCAAACCGACACAGGUGGUCAGGUAGAGAAUACCAAGGCGCUUGAGAGAACUCGGGUGAAGGAACUAGGCAAAAUGGUGCCGUAACUUCGGGAGAAGGCACGCUGAUAUGUAGGUGAAGUCCCU
rnacentral:rRNA from 1 species